UAGGGAAUAUUGGUCAAUGGAUGGAAGUCUGAACCAGCCAUGCCGCGUGCAGGAAGAAGGCCUUCUGGGUUGUAAACUGAUUUUGCCAGGGGCUAAAAAGCUCAUGCGUGAGAAAUUGAAAGUACCUGGUGAAUAAGCCACGGCUAACUACGUGCCAGCAGCCGCGGUAAUACGUAGGUGGCAAGCGUUGUCCGGAUUUAUUGGGUUUAAAGGGUGCGUAGGCGGCUUUGUAAGUCAGUGGUGAAAUAUGGCAGCUCAACUGUCAGGGUGCCAUUGAUACUGCGGAGCUUGAGUACAGAUGAGGUAGGCGGAAUUGACGGUGUAGCGGUGAAAUGCUUAGAUAUCGUCAAGAACACCGAUAGCGAAGGCAGCUUACUGGGCUGUAACUGACGCUGAGGCACGAAAGUGUGGGGAUCAAACAGG
rnacentral:rRNA from 1 species